UACAAGGGGGGCAAGCGUUGUCCGGAAUCAUUGGGCGUAAAGAGCGUGUAGGCGGCCCGAUAAGUCCGCUGUGAAAGUCCAGGGCUCAACCCUGGGAUGCCGGUGGAUACUGUCGGGCUCGAGUCCGGAAGAGGAGUGUGGAAUUCCUGGUGUAGCGGUGAAAUGCGCAGAUAUCAGGAGGAACACCAAUGGCGAAGGCAGCACUCUGGGACGUGACUGACGCUGAGACGCGAAAGCGUGGGGAGCAAACAGG
rnacentral:rRNA from 1 species